rnacentral:rRNA from 1 species
AAUGAACGCUAGCGGCAGGCUUAAUACAUGCAAGUCGAGGGACAGCACAGGUAGCAAUACUGGGUGGUAACCGGCAAACGGGUGCGGAACACGUACACAACCUUCCUUUAAGUGGGGGAUAGCCCAGAGAAAUUUGGAUUAAUACCCCGUAAUAUAGUUGAAUGGCAUCAUUUGAUUAUUAUAGCUACGGCGCUUAAUGAUGGGUGUGCGGCUGAUUAGAUAGUUGGCGGGGUAACGGCCCACCAAGUCUACGAUCAGUAGCUGAUGUGAGAGCAUGAUCAGCCACACGGGAACUGAGACACGGGCCCGAAUCCUACGGGAGGCAGCAGUAAGGAAUAUUGGUCAAUGGACGCAAGUCUGAACCAGCCAUGCCGCGUGAAGGAUUAAGGUCCUCUGGAUUGUAAACUUCUUUUAUUUGGGACGAAAAAGGGCCUUUCUAGGUCAACUGACGGUACCAGAUGAAUAAGCACCGGCUAACUCCGUGCCAGCCGCCGCGGUAAGAC